rnacentral:rRNA from 1 species
GAUGAACGCUGGCGGCGUGCCUAAUACAUGCAAGUCGAGCGAACGAACGAGAAGCUUGCUUCUCUGAUGUUAGCGGCGGACGGGUGAGUAACACGUGGAUAACCUACCUAUAAGACUGGGAUAACUUCGGGAAACCGGAGCUAAUACCGGAUAAUAUUUUGAACCGCAUGGUUCAAAGGUGAAAGACGGUCUUGCUGUCACUUAUAGAUGGAUCCGCGCUGCAUUAGCUAGUUGGUAAGGUAACGGCUUACCAAGGCAACGAUGCAUAGCCGACCUGAGAGGGUUGUCGGCCACACUGGAACUGGAACACGGUCCAGACUCCUAAGGGAGGCAGGAGUAGGGAAACUUCCGGAAUUGGCGGAAGCCUUACGGAGCAAAGGCGCGUGGGUGAAUAAGGUCUUCCGAUCGUAAAACUCUGGUAAUAGGGAAAAACAUAUGUGGAAGGAACUGGGGACAUCUUGACGGUAACUAAUCAGAAAGCCACGGCUAACUACGUG